GCCCUUCAUUCAGCGUUUACUUGGGCCUGUGGCUGGCAGCCGGCCCGGGACCUGACCGCUGGCGGCGCCUCGGGCUCUGGCCUGAGGAGGCAGAUGGCAGCCUGAGCAACUGGGACCAAGCCUCUGAGGAGUCCCCGUUGGAGGGGACUUGACCAUGAGGUACCAGGCAUCUCAUCUGGGGUCAGCGGAGAACCCAAAAGUCAAUGACGUCGGUGAAAUGGGGGUCCCUUCAUCCGAUAAGAGAAACUGGAACAGCAAGCCUAUGGUUUGGACUCCCUGGUCUAAGCGGUGCCCAUCAAUAUCUAAACAUUUAGAGAUUCCAGGUUUCAGUGUCUGGCCGUCUCUUACUGUCAGUGAUUUGGGGCAAAAUAUUCAAGUAGUUAGACUUAAUUACUUCCCCUGUGGGAUGGGAAUAAUAAUAAUCAUACCUACUGCCAGAAUUUUAGGAAUGAACAAUAGAAGGAAGAAAAUACUUAAAAUUUUCUGACAGCCUCUAAGUGGGUUCCUUGAGGGCAGCAACCAAGUCAUUUACCUGGAUGCUUGAUAGACAUUCUCUAAUGGCCAGUCCAUCAACUUGGAGCUAUCUCCAUGAUAACAGGUUAGUUGUCAAAGUUUGGACAAUAUUAUCUGGAGUUUAAAGACUGAGGAAGCCCUGCAAUUUUUUUUGGAAGGUGUCUGAAACUUAGCCUGACAAUUAGCCCCCACAAUUAUGCCACGGAACCAGGUUUUUGUUAGAGUGGAGCAUGGCCACAACGUUUGAUGGACAUUCCUACAGCGGUGUUCAGCGCUGGCCACUGAGGUCUGAAAAUACUUUUGCAAGCAUUUCUAUUCACUUGCUUUUAGAAAACAUUGGUAAGACACCAUACUCCAAACACAGUUUGCCCUGUCUGUACGUUUGUUGCAAAGCAAACAUAAAAGUUUUUGCCAUAGAGCAAACACAGAGCAGUCUGUUAUAACUGGAACAAGAAACCAAAAUGAGCUAUUAAAUCUGCCCAGAGUCACUUUGGUUUACCUGUUUGUAAUUUGGGCACAUUCCCUGCAAGAUGGAGGCCCUGGUCUGUGACUGAUGUAGGGGCUUGUAUGUGUCCUUGCAAUAGUUCCCUCAAGAGCAGGUGGGAAAGUGGGGCAGGCCAAAUGAUGACCUUAGAAAAACAACAGCCUGUUUCUCUGUCCAGAAGAUGCUACUUUUAGUCUGUAGUAUGAAGGAAAAAGAAAAAACAAAAAAGGCAAGCCUUGGAGCCUCUUCCUCCUUAUAGGACAAUUCUUGACUCCAAGAUAGCAAAGUAGAGUUAAAUCUGCUUCUGCAUAAAAACUAUGUUUGGGAAGAUGAAGAUCAGGAAAAGACAGGAAGAGAUGUAAGCAGAUAAGCCAAAUCCUGGUUACCUUUUAUAGACAUCACACAUGUGAACAGAGAGCAUCAGGAGGUCAAGGCCGGCCUGAUGUUUUUCAUCUUGGCAACUUCCCAAGGUCCAGGUUUGGUCCUUGACUUUGUGGGGCCAAAAAUCUCAUCUGACUUCCAGUGUACCAGAGUCGAUUAGCACUGUUGCAUAAAGUCAGAAUGACAACUGACUGAUUUCAUUCACUAUUUGCUAGAGAAGUGCUAUGCUAAAUGCAUUACAUGCAUUAUUACCUCAUUAUUUCUCCCUACUAUCAUGUGGUAUAUUAUAAUCUAUUUAUUUUUCAUUUGGGAGAAAAAAAGAUGAAGGAAAUCCCAAGGUCACAUAGUUACUAUGUAUGUUAGUGGCAGGGUUUGAAUCAAGGCCAUCUGACCCCAAAACCUGAAGCUUAUCCAUUCCUGUUAGAAGCAAGACUGUCGGGAACACUGGACUCGAGGCCACCUGAUGAACACAUUCUCUUCUUGUAGCCAUGCAGUUUGGAGCCCCAUAGUCAGAAGGUGGCUUAGUGAGCCUAAAAUCAGAAUCGGAAGAGUGAAUUGUCUGACUUAAAUGUUUGAUGAUAUCAGGCUCGGGCAAUGUGGGAUGUCUCUUUCCACAACACAGGUCAAAACCUAUAGGAAGUACUGUUCACUCAUCCCUGCUGGCCUGGCCAGCCCUUCUCCCUAGAUGGGGCCUGGUGGACACCAUCUGUUUGUGUCGAUGAGGCUCUCUGUAUUAUGGUACCCAGGCCGCCUCUCCUCAGAUGGACAUUUUUAGAUAGAGCAAGGCGUUACUGAGUAACAUUACUCAGUAAGGUCUCUCAGCCCUUAUUUUUCUUUAUGGAGACAUUUUGUAUCUUUGCUCUGAUUGGCUUGAUUUAUAAUUUAACUUCUAAAGGACAGCUUUCUAUCCCACCUUUUGGAGACAGCUCUGUUUUCCUUACUAUCCUUCCUGAUCUAACCCUGGAACAAAAGUUUGUGCAGUAGCAAGUUCUGCAACAAGAACUUUAUCCAGGCCUGCACUGAUAGUCAGUAAAGACACAAAAGAAGCAAAAGUCCAAGUCCAAGGCCAGUCCCAAAAGACUUUACUACAGAAUCGGGCAAUGGAGGGUUGGGGGGCGGGGCACAGCUGAUGAUCACGCAACCCAGCUGAAGAAUGAUAUAAAUGGAAUGAAAGCAUGGUGCAAGCAGCAUCUAACUUAGGAGUCACUGGUUAGGAAAAAAAAAUACCUGAUGUGUGAUUCAGAUAAAAAUGAAAAAAAUAACCCUUUUAGAUAUUUCAUUCAACAAAUAUUCUGUGGCAACUACAAAAUGCAGCCACCCUGCUAAUGCUGGGGAUUCAGUGAUGAGCAAAAAUAAAUGUGGUCUCUGCCCUCGGGAAACACACUU
rnacentral:lncRNA from 1 species